AUCAACAUGGUGAACUCCUGGGAGCAGAGAUCACCAGGUUGCUUAAGGAGAGGUGAACAGGCCCAGGUUGGAAACAGAGCAAGUCAAAGCUCCUGU
ensembl:misc_RNA Metazoa_SRP Metazoan signal recognition particle RNA